rnacentral:lncRNA from 1 species
GAUUUAAACAGGGACAGUGGCACUGGAGGGGAGUGAGAAUGAGAAAACUAGGAGAGAUCUAUGACAGCACUCUGUAUUUUGCAAAAGGAAUCUUUGAUGCAUUAUCGGGGCCCUCUUUAUAUUGGUUUGAACUGAGCAAGAACGAUGCAAACAAAACGUGGAUGUGGGCAGAUGGAGCUACGUUCAGCAAUGGGUUCAGUACUGAAGAAAGUGGUGAUUGUGCCUUCAUACAUAAGACAGGCAUAAGUAGUGCCAAUUGUAAUAAUACAAAAAAAAAAAAAAUAUGUUUGCAGCAGAAAAAGCUACUGUUCUUAGAUAAAGAGUUCUCCCAUACAGGAAAUAAAAUAAUUAACAAAAACC